CCAUUGUUUGCUUAUAAGUAACGUAGUUCUAAAACUUUGUUGUAAAGGGUGGUGCUGAAUGAAGAGAACCUCAAUUCUCAAAUAGGGAACUUAACCACUAUCUUCUCUUCUGUGCUUCGGAGUCAUUUGCUUCUCCAAUACAGAAUCAUUAUCCAAAAUUUCUUUUGAUUUCUCGCAAAAUCAGAUUCAGAUCAACAAUUUUUUCACCACACGUGAUUCUUGCAAGAAGAUACUUGUAAAAGAUAUUUCAUCGCGAACAAUCACUAAAGCAACAUUGAUGGGUAUAAUCAGGGGUUGCUUCACUUUCUUCACAGGGACUGUGUUUGGGAUCUAUUUGGCUCAGAGUUAUCAAGUCCCUGACGUCAAGAAGGAAGCUGACACUGCCUUGAUACAGGCCAAACAAGUUGAGGAAAAAUAUCGUAAGUCUAAGUAAGUCUAAUGAACUAGAAGGACAAUAAUUAUCAUAUCAGGAUCUUGCUUUUGUAGUGUAUUUUGACUUUUUUGAGUUUGGUCCUGCAUUAGGAUUGGCAUUGGAAAUGUUUACACAGGUUUAAUGACAGUUAUACUAACAUUAUUGAAUAUUGGAUAACUUGAAUUCAGAUUUAGAAUUGUAUCCGAGAGUAUUUUGUCCAAAAGGACAAUUAGGAAUAUUUGUGUUAAAUAAUAUCGGUGAUAUCUAAUUGGGAUUUGUUGUUUCAAGAUAUUAUACUUGUUUAACAAAAUGUAUGUAAAAGUUAAGCUUCU